AUGGUGCAAAAUUACAAAAAUUGGCAAAUGCACUUUGUUGCGGCUUUUGAUUGUGUAUUUAUUAUUAUUUAUGGGUAGCUGGGCCGUGGGCCAGUCCAAACUUAUUAAAGGGCCAGUUCUGGCCCGCGGGCCACCAGUUGAAUACUCCUGCACUAGACCAUCACCUCC